GACGAACGCUGGCGGCGCGCCUAACACAUGCAAGUCGAACGGAGCUUAGAGAGCUUGCUUUUUAAGCUUAGUGGCGAACGGGUGAGUAACGCGUGAGUAACCUGCCCUAGAGUGGGGGACAACAGUUGGAAACGAUUGCUAAUACCGCAUAAGCCCACGGUACCGCAUGGCACUGAGGGAAAAGGAUUUAUUCGCUUUAGGAUGGACUCGCGUCCAAUUAGCUAGUUGGUGAGGUAACGGCCCACCAAGGCGACGAUUGGUAGCCGGACUGAGAGGUUGAACGGCCACAUUGGGACUGAGACACGGCCCAGACUCCUACGGGAGGCAGCAGUGGGGGAUAUUGCACAAUGGGGGAAACCCUGAUGCAGCGACGCCGCGUGGAGGAAGAAGGUUUUCGGAUUGUAAACUCCUGUCGUUAGGGACGAUAAUGACGGUACCUAACAAGAAAGCACCGGCUAACUACGUGCCAGCAGCCGCGGUAAAACGUAGGGUGCAAGCGUUGUCCGGAAUUACUGGGUGUAAAGGGAGCGCAGGCGGGAAGACAAGUUGGAAGUGAAAACCAUGGGCUCAACCCAUGAAUUGCUUUCAAAACUGUUUUUCUUGAGUAGUGCAGAGGUAGAUGGAAUUCCCGGUGUAGCGGUGGAAUGCGUAGAUAUCGGGAGGAACACCAGUGGCGAAGGCGGUCUACUGGGCACCAACUGACGCUGAGGCUCGAAAGCAUGGGUAGCAAACAGGAUUAGAUACCCUGGUAGUCCAUGCCGUAAACGAU
rnacentral:rRNA from 1 species